GACACCAUUCUGUUUCACAAUGGAUUCACAAGAAGCUCAUGCUUUCAAAGAUAAUCACACAGAAUUUGCUUAUCUUAGAGCUCCUCUCCAUGUACCCAAAUAUGGUGAGUUAAUGCUACUGUGUAUGUGUUAUAUAUAUAUAUAUUUAGAUGUUGUAUUUGAUCCUUUUUUUUUUUUUAACUAUUACCGCUGUAGUAAUGUACUAGGUUUUGGGUAUGUUUUCUCUGUUUUAUCUGACAGUCAUCUUGCGUGGUAAAAGAUAGUCUUAUGAAUUUUCAU
rnacentral:lncRNA from 1 species